AAUCCAGUUUAGAAUAGAUCAUCGAACGGAAUUCUCAUCCUAAACCUAAAUCAAAAUGCGUUUCACCAUUGUCUUGGCUCUCUGCUUCAUUGGAGCUGCCUCUGCUAGCUCAUUGAACAAGCGAAGCUUCCUCGAUGAUAUCCAGAACAACACUCAAAAUGCUUUCCACGCUUUUGAAC